rnacentral:rRNA from 1 species
UGGUGGAGCGAUUUGUCUGGUUAAUUCCGAUAACGAACGAGACUCUAGCCUACUAAAUAGACUUAUUCGUUGGCUUAUGUAGAAAUUAAACCGGUUGUUAGGGGAUGAGUGGAGGUUGGUUUCGGCCAAAUGCUUGCUCAUCCUUUAUUUCAGCCGGCGUUUCAAUAACGUCAACAGUGCUUCUUAGAGGGACAGGCGGCGGUUCAGCCGCACGAAACAGAGCAAUAACA